GACGAACGCUGGCGGCGUGCUUAACACAUGCAAGUCGAACGAAAAGAGGGAAAGAGCCUGCUCUUUCCGGAAUUGAGUGGCAAACGGGUGAGUAACACGUAAACAACCUGCCUUCAGGAUGGGGACAACAGACGGAAACGACUGCUAAUACCGAAUAAGUUCCAAGAGCCGCAUGGCCCAUGGAAGAAAAGGUGGCCUCUACCUGUAAGCUAUCGCCUGAAGAGGGGUUUGCGUCUGAUUAGCUGGUUGGAGGGGUAACGGCCCACCAAGGCGACGAUCAGUAGCCGGUCUGAGAGGAUGAACGGCCACACUGGAACUGAGACACGGUCCAGACUCCUACGGGAGGCAGCAGUGGGGAAUCUUCCGCAAGGGGCGAAAGCCUGACGGAGCAACGCCGCGUGAGGGAUGACGGCCUUCGGGUUGUAAAACUCUGUGAUCCGGGACGAAAAGGCAGAGUGCGAAGAACAAACUGCAUUGACGGUACCGGAAAAGCAAGCCACGGCUAACUACGUG
rnacentral:rRNA from 1 species